GAAGACUUUCCUUAUUCAGCUAACACCACUGAUGACCCACGUUCUCAAAAGAGGACAGACAGAAAGAGAUUAGCUGUUCUGAUCAGGCUUGAAAGGUCCUUUUCUUCAUUGGUAGAAGAGUUGACUUGCAAAAGAGAAUCUUUACAAACUUCAAGAAGAUCAUCAGAGUUGAUGAAGCUAAGACCUUAAGAAGUUCUGAAGACUUAAUCGUCUGAAGAUUACAAGUUCUGAGUCUCACAAUCUUCUGAACGCUUACAAACUUCUGAAGUCCUUAUCUUCUGAUCUUUAAUCAGAGCUUAAUUGAAUCUAAGUCCUGCACACUUAAAUUAAAUUUUUAGUCCUUCCAAUUGUUUAUUAAUACUUUGUUAUCAUCAAAACCUUAAUAGAUUUAGGGGCAAACAUUUUUAAAUCAAUUUUGUUCCA
rnacentral:lncRNA from 1 species